GUGUCUUAGGUGAAUGCGAAGGAGACCUUUUACCUCUGUCUUUGUCACGAUCCCUACUCCGCGAUCUACCUGAUCUGUCUCGUGAUAAAUGUAAAGAUAAUUCUCCUUGAUCCAGAGUAUCUAUUGAUGCAUGCUUAUGUGUCUUAGGUGAACGUGAAGAUGACCUUUUACCUCUGUCUCUGUCACGAUCCCUACUCCGUGAUCUUCCUGAUCUAUCUGAUGCACGCUUACGUGUCUUAGGUGAACGUGAAGAUGACCUUUUACCUCUGUCUCUGUCACGAUCCCUACUCCGUGAUCUUCCUGAUCUAUCUCGUGAUGAAUGUAAAGAUAAUUCUCCUUUUUCCCGAGUAUCUUUAGAUGUAAGCUUAUGUGUCUUAGGUGAAUGCGAAGGAGACCUUCUGCCUCUUCCUAUGCCACGCUCUACACUCCGCGACCGUCUCCUUUUUGGCCUUGACUCUUCAUGGUGUAUUCGUGUUGCAUCCUUGUAUUUUCUUUCCAGAUGAUGUUCUCUACCAGUGUCUCUAAGUUUAUCUUCAUCUUCAUUACGGUGUUUCCUUUUGCUUUUAUUUUCAUUUUCAGAUUUUCCUCUACUUCUGUCAGCAUAUAUAUCAGGUCCCAUCAUAUCUCUUCCAUGUCUUUUCACAGGUUCAUUCUCAGAAUCAUUGCUCAUACGAUAGUCAUGUUUUCUAUUGAAUUGGACCUGUCUAUCCUCGAUGUUAACUUGACGUUCACGCUCUCUAUCUUUUUCUGAUUUUCCUUCAAUUCUUUCAGCUAAUCUGUCCUUCCUGACCGAAUUUCUCGAUCGCAUCUUAUCAGAUUCAUUUUCAUUAUCGCCAAUUGACCAACCAUCCUUUUUUCCUUUUCCGUGAGAAUGUCUCUCAGUUUUCCUGCUUACAUUUUUUACCACUUUAGAUUUUGAUUUUGGGUUUUCCUUAUCUUUAUCCAUGAAUAAGUUCUCUUCUUUAAUCUCCCUUUCUCGAGAACUUAUAUUUUGUGGAUCAUUUAAAGCAUUUUUCAAACCACUGGAUAAAGCAUCCUCAUGCCUGUGCCUACACAAUUCUGAAUUUUCAGAAGCCUUCUCAAUAUUCUUUUUUGCUAAUGCACUAUCCAUUCCCCCUGGAUCAUCUUUAACUUUCUCAGCAAUCUCUUCCUUGUUUUUUCUUCUAAGCAAUAUCUCAUCAAAACUAAAAGGUCUUGUCCUCGCUGAAGUGCCCUCCAAGCAAUUAUCCUGGGAUAGUUCAACAAUGUUUCCAUAUCCCUCUUUGUGCUGAUUGGAUCUCCCCAUAGCACUCAGUUUAAUCUUCUUUAGGUCUAGAGUUCCAGUCCUGCAGUGUGCCAAUGAGUUCAGAAGGAAAUUAGGAAAAGGAUAGGAUGGGAUGCCACAUAGGUUGGAUUCAGAAAUCACAUCAUCAUUAUAAGCCUUCCAAGAAAUUACUGCAUCUGAGACAAAUGUGUGUGUGUGUGUGUCAAAAAGAAAUAUUUGAAGACAAUAAACAACAGCAACUUUCAAUGAAUCUAAGUUCUACUGCGACGUCGUAGUUGUUAACCACCCGAAUGUACCAAUGUUCAGCCGUUAAGAAUCAUAAGCUUUCUAAUUAUCCUCUUGUGCACGUCCUUAUAAUGUAUAGUGUUUGUGUUUCCAACAAAAGGUUUAUUCUUUGUUGUAUAUUUCCAUUAACUGUUAGACAAGGAGAGACACUUCAAAAAUUUCUACCAAUAUAGGAUAAUAUCCAAUAAAGGCAUCAACUAUGUAGACAUAAGCUAAUGAAGCUUGAAGUCCUUGAGGCUGUUUGAGCACAUUCGUAAUCAAAACAAGAUUCUCACAGGACUCUACAACAAAUCCAAAAUCCUUGAAGUUAUCCCUUUUGCCAGAAUAAUAGGAUUCAGUCUUGUACUACGAGAGUCAAAUCCCUCAACAGUGUCUAACUAUUCUUCCUCUACAUUGCCCACAAGUGGCACUGAGGCAUUUAAAACAAUCCACAUCUAUUGGGAAAAUAUAAUUAUAAGUGAUAGCAAGAAGCAACAGAAAUAUGGCUUAUAUAGUAUUGACAUGUUUCCUUACUUCGACUUAACCAAUCCAACUUUAAUAAUGAUUAAUUAGCUAGACUUUUUUCUCACAUGUUAGUGUAAUUAAAUAGAUGUUGUUUUCAACUUAUGAGAAGAAACAACAGAAGAUAAAAACAGCUUAGACCUACUGACACCAUUGACAACCUUGAAUUGUGAUAUCAUAAAAUUAAAGCAUAUCAAGUUGUCCGCUAAUUAUCCUUCAGCUAACAGAUGUUGAUGCGAUUUUGAAUAGACCACACACUUAGACUGUUAGACCUUUUAAUUAACCCUUAUGAUUAAAAUAAGAAAAGGCUCUCGUUCGUAAGUGAUAUAACCCCGGUGAACAUGUUAGAAGGAGUAAUGUGGCCUAUCAAAACUAACAUUGCAUAUUUGCAAUUGCUAAGGAUUUUAGUUUUCAUUCUUCUAGCAAAAGCCAGUAGUAGCAAUGAAGCUUUUCGAGCGGAUGAUAUAUAUAUAUAUAAAACUCAAAUAAUCCACAUCAAAUUUAUUGCAAAUAGGCUUUGUUGUUGUUGAUUACAUAAGCAUAUAGAUUGCACCAUCAAAGCACUCUCACCUCUCCAAGCAGAUUUAAAAAGUCAUAUAGUUACAUAAACAUAUGUAGUGCAUUUUUAUGUUUAGCAAAGGGAUCUUGAUCUAGAAAUAAUCAUUUUGGCACAAAUUGAAGCACCAAGGCAUGAAGGCAACCAAGGAAGCGAAGGCACUGCAGUGCAAGAAUUCAUACAUCAUGAAGACACCAUAAGUAAAAAGACGCCCUGAAAGGACAUUUCAGAUUUUUUAUUCUUCCUAACAAUGUGCUUAUUAGUUUCUUUUAUUUUUAUUUUUUUUAGUCAACCAGACCAUUGAUAAUCUUCAACUGUAUUAUAAAAUUACAGCUCCGCUUGGAUUUGGAACUGUGAAGUACUUCUCAAUCUCAGAAUGGACAAGGAUUAGUUUGGUGGCAUGAAAUGUUAGAAAUGAUACAUAUCCAAUUGUCCGUGAAAAACAAUCCAGAGAACCACAAUCAAAUUACUUUUUAUUAAUCUAUUUACCACUUAUAUCACGGAACCACAAUACUGGCUGUAACUAAAAGAAAACCGUAAACAACCGCAUCAAAAACUCAAGAGAAAUGUUGUCGAGAAAAUCACAGUUGCCAGAGGAAGAUUAUCAUCAAGAACAACAAUUUUAAAAUAUAUAUAUAUAUAUUUUGAAAUCAAACCAUUCGCAAUAAUCAGAUCGAGUGCGAUUACAUAAAAAAAUCUGACACUACCUUCCAAGUUUGCUGUUGAAGAAGUCGAGUAGAAAUCACUGCAACACGAGAUAAAUUAGUGCCAAGGGUGAUGAAGACGUCCCUUUAUCCCCCUCCUUCACCCUAAAUUGUUCUCCAGUAAUUAAUACAAAGGAAAAAAACCCUUAUCUCUCUCUGUUUGUAGAGUCGGAUUUUCAAGUAAGAUGAUUGGGUUGUAGCCCAACCCGAAAUUUAGGCCCAAAAAACUCCUUUACUGCACAAAAUUGGCCCCUUUUAAAAUCAUCACAUUAUUGCUAGGGUAAAAUUCACAAUUAAGGUAUUAAGUAUGGAUAAUACAAUUUUCAUGUCUAAAGUUUUGAAAAUGUAAAAAUCAGGUUUUUAUUUAUUAAAUAAAUAGAUUUUAUUAAUUGAAAAUAAUAAGAUCACAUAUAUACCAUUAAUGAUCACAUGUUCAUAAUUAUAAGUUACAAACUUGUUUAUUGGUCACGUAUUAUCAAAUUAACUAGUCACAAAUUAUUUCGAGAUCACGAAUGAAAAUUUUUACAGGUCAUGAUUUAUUUAAUUAAUUAUAGAUGAAAAAAUUAUAAGUCACAGUUUAUUAAUCAAUCACAUGUUUUUGAAUUUGUUGGUCACAAUUAUCAAAUUUUAAGUUCAUAGUUAAAUAAUUGGUCACACGUAAUGAAAGAGUUGGUCACAGGGAAUCAAACAAUCAGUCACAGGUCAAAUAAUUGGUCACAUUACAUACCACCACCACCACCACCCUCACCCUCACCCCGUCGCCGCCGACACUACCACCACUGCUAGUUCCACUAACAACAAUAACCACCCAAUUUCCCCGACACAACCAAAACACCACCACCACCACCACUCCCUCAACCAAAAAAACAUCACCAUUCCUACUUGCACCACCACCAGCAUGUCCACUACCCCAACACCGCACAACCACCACUCCAUUACCACCACCACGAUAGCAUCAACACUGCCAGAGGUACCACACACAUUACCACCAACACCACUACACAUACAACCAUAGGCAGAUCACAUAGACUCGCCUCUAAAUCCACGGUAUCCAUCGCACCACCAUCAACAUUGUCCACCACCACCAACACCUCACCUGCGACUGUUAGCGUUCAAUGUCUGGCAACAGAUUGCAACCAGUCACGAUUCUUGCAACAAUCGCCACUCAACGUUAUGCAAAAACUGGUCGCCAUAUUUGAUCUGAAAAGUGGGGGCAGUGAUUCUUCUCCGUUCGUGAGAGGAGUGUCGCUGCACCAUCAAAACUGAGGAGGUUUCUUCCAAGGCUCGCCUCCGUCGUUAUCGUCGUCACUGUCGUGAAUCGCCGCCAAUGAUUGCGACAGUGGUGUUUCAAGAUAGAGAGAAGGGAGAGUAUGAAGACGGUAGAGAGAGAAAACAUAACGUAAAAUUAGGGUUGGGAAAAUUGAAUUGAAAGAAAUUAGUAUUUAAAUUAUUAAAUCAAACCUGAUUUUUGCAUAAUGAAACUUAAGCCAUGAUUUUUGAAUUGUGAUGUUUAAAUCCUUGGAUUUGUGUAAUUUCCACUUAUUGCUAAUCCAUUUUGUAAUUUUCGACCAAAAAUUUUGUUGAAGUGAGAAUCGGACCCGCCCCGUCAUCAUGAAAUAUGGUAAGAAUGUCAAAUUACUAUGUAAUAACUCAUUAUGAGGACAGGUCACAGAAUUCGAAUUAAUAUUAACUGUAAGAAUUAGUGGAUUAAAAAUUCAUAUGGCCAUUAAACUUUGUACAGUAUUUUUAUUGACCUUUAGAAUUUUAAAAGUUUUUUAGAUUAUCAUCGAACUUAUCAAAUUGUUAUAUCAUUGACCAUUAAAUUUUAAAAAACUUAUCAAUCAUUAUCUUAUUAAAUAUUAAACUUUAAUUUCUCGGAUGAUCAAUGAAUUUAUGAAAUAACUAUCCCAUUUACUGUUAGAAAAUUUGAUGUACUCCGUGACAAAGCAAACAAAAACGUAGAUAUGACAUAUUAUUGUUGUUAGUUGAUGACAAAUUAGUUAAAUUGUGCUUCAAUACAUUAAAAGCGCUUAUAGAAAAUGAUUGAAUUUUAACAUUUGUCUUUAUCUAUAUUUUUAUUUAAUAUUAUUUUUUAAUUGUUUUUUCCCUUUAAUCGCAUUUUUAUAGACACAUUUUUCGCUUAUUUGUCAUCAACUAGCGAUAAUAGUGUGCCGUGUCGACGUUUUCAUUUGUCUCGUCUGUAAAUCCGUUUAAUCUUUUAAUGGCAAGUUAUUGAGUGAUAAAUUAUGAAAUGAUGAUUUGAUAAGUUUGAUGAUCAUUCUAAAAACUUAUAAAGUUUAUUAAUUAAUGGAAUAGCGAUAAUAAGUUCAGUGACCAUCCGAAAACCUUUCAAAGUUUAAUGGUCAAUAAAAUAAUUAUACAAAGUUCAAUGGCCUUUCAAAUUUUUAACUUGUAACGAAUACUUUAUUUGUCAAUUGGAUGGGCGAAUUAACGAUUUGUUGUACCCCAAAAGGAGCUCAAUAUUUAUUUAUUCAUAUCUGAUCCCAUUUAAAUAGCGUGUUUUAAUUAUUCAAUAUACAUAAUAAAAUAAUGAUGAUGUGUGCUGAAUAUUCUAUAUUACAGAGUACUAGAACCUUUAAGCACAUUUACAAGUGUUUAUAAACUAUUUAAAUUAUAAAUGGAUACAUUUCUAUCGAGUAUCCAAGCUGCAACAUUAUAGUUUUCCGGCAAUUAUUUAUAAUUAUGAUGGUCACCGGUCAUUAUUCCCUUUUAAAAGCAAGAGCCCCAAACAAUCCAUGAAGGGCAAAUAACUCAUUGUACUAUACGUCUUGAAUUGCUAGGAUAUCUAAUCGCAUUCACUCCAAUUAAUGUCAUUUAACUCGAGUAGUGUUAACAAUAGUCUAUACAACAACCGGGUGGUUCUACUGGUACAUUUAGAGUCUGUUUGUCGCCCAUUAUGAGAAAAAUUAUAAAAUUUUGAAUAGUAUUUUUCAAAGAAUGUAUGGUUAAAAUUUAAAUAAACUUUAUUGAUUUGUGUAUAGAAUAUCUUAUGGUGCGAAUGUGUGAUGAAAAAUAUUACUGUAACAAACAAUUUAAUUUGUCAAAUGAGGACAAACAAGGGCUUAAUAUUAUUUCUUUUGGUGCAACAACUUUGAAGACGGUAGCAUUUGAAGUCAACACAACCGUGCACCUCCUAUACAGGUGGUUCAUUUUAACAUAAUCUUAUUUAUAGGAAUAUAAUCAUCAAUGAUCAUAUCACUCAACUAAUAAAACUAUCGCAUUAAACGAUAGGCUAAAUUAUAAGCAUGAACAUGAAAUCCAUUGGACCUAUCAUUUAAUGUUGUCUAAAUGUAAUAAGGGUCAUCGAGAUGACAAAUAGAAUUCAUUUAUUAAGGGUCUAUUUGGUAUGAUUUUUAAGACCCGAAAGUUUUUUUGGAUUUGUUUGGUUAAAUUUAUGAAAGUGUUUCUACCAGUCAAAAGUGCUUUUAGAGGAAGCUGGAUCAAUGUAACUUUCUCUAAAAGCACUUUCAAAAUAGGAAAUUAUUUAAAAAACUCUUACAUAAGAAGCAAAAGCAAAAAUGCAUAUCAAACAAGCAUUGCAAGCCCUAAAACAAUUCAUCCAUCAAUUGUGCUACACGUUGAGGAUGAAAAACAGGCUCAAAAAUAGGGGUGACCACGCGAUUGGAUAGUUUGAAAAAUGAAAACAAAUACUCCUAACUAUUUGUCGCCACCUCAGUCUAUCUCCUCCUUCCUUGUUUUUAACCCUAGCUAAUUGACUUUAUACUUCAUCCAUAAGCCAGUCACAGGUGCAAAUAGCAUAAAGAAAUGUAAGCAAUAAUCGUUGAAAAAAGCAACCCCAAAAUUUUGGGACCAAAAGCAGUUGGUGUUGACCAUUAACUAAGCCCUUGUUUGGUGGUCAUUAUUUUAAAAAUAAUAAUAAUAAUAAUGCUUUGAAUAUCAAUUUUUAGGAGAAUGUGUGGUAAAAAAAAUGGAUUCAUAUGUAAAAUAUUUUAUUAUCUGAAUGUGAUUGAAAAUGAGCAGAAAAAAGUUUGAAAAUAAUGAUUGUCAGAGAGGGCUAAGUUUACACCAUCAGACACGUCAGCAUUUAGGUGAAAAUUACGAAAUUAGAAAGAGUGAUAAGUUUUGAGAUCAAAUUAAAGUACAGCCACCAAACUACCUACCUAAGAGAUCUAAAGAGAUUUAAGUAAAAGUACAAUCACUGCAAAUGGAAUUAACCCUUCCCAUGAUAGCUCCAAUUACUUAGUAUCAUUCGGGUCGGUUUGGGUCGGGUUGGUCGGUUUGGGGUUCGGCCCAAUUAAAAUUGGAUCCGAUUAUUUUCUUUUUUUUUUUGUUGAAUUUAGAUAAAUUUUUAAAAUUUUAAAUUACUUGAAAACCUCUAUUUUUUUUAAUAUUUAUAUAAGGAAUUAUACUACAAAAUAAUCUAUAAAUAAGUUUAAAAUUUAAGAAGCUUAAUUUUUUUUUUUUUAAAUUUUUUUGGGAUUUAUUCAUUUCAUCGUCAUGCUCUUAAUUUUUACUUUAUUAUCAAAUAAUAUUUCAUUUGUACAAAGUGUUCAUAUGAAUCAGUCUAUAUAAGAAAUGGACAUUUAUAAAUUAUAAGUCCUUCUCAUAUAUUGUGUUUAUUUAGUUUUUUUUCAUCUUAGAUAUUAAUUAUUUUAAUUCAUCGGGUUGGGUUCGGGUCAAGUUGGGUUUUAAAUCAUAACCCAAACCCAACCCAAUCCAACCGAAAAUUAAUUUUCUACCUAACCUGACCCAACCCAAUUGGACUUAAAAACCAACCCAAACAAAUCGUUUUGAUUUGUGUUGAGCGAUUUGAGUUGGGUUUUGCCCAACCCUAAUCAUAUAUAUUGAGGUAGACCAUCAUGAAUGAUUCUCUUUUGCUAUAUUUUUAGUAUUUCUUUACUUGUUGGGAGAGGGUAUGAUAUGGUGGUUAACCAUCUCCAUGCUCCAUGCCAAAUAUAAUAAUUAGGAUUGGUCAUAGUCAAAGAAUUCAUCCCACACCAAGAAUUUGUGGUGCCAAAACAAAAGAAGCUUGAGCAAAGUUUUGGCCUAAAGAGAAAUUAUGUUACAUUUUGAAUAGCUCUCUUACCCUUUCACUCUCACUAGAUCAAUAGUAAACAUUCAUAUUUCUCUAUUCUCUACCUUCUGCAUCAAAGCCAAACCGUACAAGAUCUUUAAUUAUGCCAUGCCCUUUUCUUGAGGAAACAACAAUAGCUUGUGAUGUCAAAUAACAUUACACAAUACCUUCCUUGGAAUAAAUAGGGAAGAAAGGAACUGAACGCAAAAUGGCAAAAAAAUUUAUUUUUAACAAGCCAAAGUGUAAUACCAACAUGAAUAUAUUUCUGCUUAGCAUGUCCCUACUAAUUAACAAAAAAUACAUAUGUAACUAUUGUGAUCAACCAUAAGGGAAGAAAAAAGGAAGUUCGCAUGGUUAUAAUUCUUACAGUUACUUCACUGUAGUCUUUGGGGCGUCUGAGUUUAAGAACACUCCCAUCAAAGGAUUUUCCAUCAAAAGAGAGAGCAGCUGAAGCAUCCUGAGGAGUUAAAAAUUCCAAAAGAGCUUGGCCCUUCUCCUUGUGUAUCUGCAGUAAUAUACAGACUCAUUAAAUCCUUACACAAGCAGGCAUGGCAAUUAUAGGUAAGGCAGACUAAAAAAAUGAUUGGAUACAUACUAUACAGCUGAUACAAGGAUGGGUUCCUUGAAUGUGGUAGACGCCCGAAGAUAGUAGGAAGUUAUUAACACAUUCCAUUAAAGCUUUCUCAGAAGCUGAAGCAGACAAGUUUUCUACAUAGAGCCUUCUCAUAGGUCGGGUUGCUUGAGUCAGUUGGAUGGAUUCAACGACAUGAAUCUGUGAAGCAUGGAAAGAAACACUAUCCGGCUUCACCACCUUUGGAGCCACUGGAGUAACACUGGGUAACUCAGUUUUGUUCGAUGAUACCAUUUGGCCUGAAGACAGGGAAUUAGGAAAAAGGUAAUUGUUGCUUUCUUUUCCAACAGGUGGGAGAUCCCACCCAGCAGUUCUCCUCUCUGGAGAGCGGCGAGUAGGAGAAGGAGUUUUAGCAGCAGUAUCAGUUUUCCUCUUUCUAGGAGAAUAACCACCGAGCCCACUGGAAGAUCCAGCAUUUUGCCCGUAGUGACUACUGGAACCAUUACUUAACAUCCUAUUCCAGUCAACAUCAGACUGUGAUCUUCCUGAUCUGUCUCUUGAUGAAUGUAGUGAUGCUUCUUGUUCUCGAAUAUCUAUAGGUGUAUGCUUAUGUGUAUUAGGUGAAUGCGAAGGAGACCUUUUACCUCUGUCUUUGUCACGAUCCCUACUCCGCGAUCUACCUGAUCUGUCUCGUGAUAAAUGUAAAGAUAAUUCUCCUUGAUCCAGAGUAUCUAUUGAUGCAUGCUUAUGUGUCUUAGGUGAACGUGAAGAUGACCUUUUACCUCUGUCUCUGUCACGAUCCCUACUCCGUGAUCUUCCUGAUCUAUCUGAUGCACGCUUACGUGUCUUAGGUGAACAUGAAGAUGACCUUUUACCUCUGUCUCUGUCACGAUCCCUACUCCGUGAUCUUCUUGAUCUAUCUCGUGAUGAAUGUAAAGAUAAUUCUCCUUUUUCCCGAGUAUCUUUAGAUGUAAGCUUAUGUGUCUUAG
rnacentral:lncRNA from 1 species